rnacentral:rRNA from 1 species
AUGGAACGCUGGCGGCAGGCUUAACACAUGCAAGUCGAGCGGGGGAAGGUAGCUUGCUACCGGACCUAGCGGCGGACGGGUGAGUAAUGCUUAGGAAUCUGCUUAGUAGUGGGGGACAACAUCUCGAAAAGGAUGCGAAUACCGCAUACGUCCUACGGGAGAAAGCAGGGGAUCUUCUGACCUUGCGCUAGUCGAUGAGCCUAUGUCGGAGUAGCCAGAUGGUGGGGUAAAGGCCUACCAAGGCGACGAUCUGUAGCGGGUCUGAGAGGAUGAUCCGCCACACUGGGACUGAGACACGGCCCAGACUCCUACGGGAGGCAGCAGUAGGGAAUAUUGGACAAUGGGGGGAACCCUGAUCCAGCCAUGCCGCGUGUGUGAAGAAGGCCUUAUGGUUGUAAAGCACUUUAAGCGAGGAGGAGGCUAAUCUAGUUAAUACCUAGGGAUAGUGGACGUUACUCGCAGAAUAAGCACCGGCUAACUCUGUGCCAGCCGCCGCGGUAA